rnacentral:rRNA from 1 species
AGAGUUUGAUCCUGGCUAGGAAGAACGUUGGCGGUGUGCCUAAUACAUGCAAGUCGAACGGAGUUAGUAGCAAUACUGGCUCAGUGGCGAACGGGUGAGUAACGCGUUGGUGAUCUGCCUUGAAGUGUGGAAUAACGUUUCGAAAGGAACGCUAAUACCGCAUGUGCUCUCGAUUUUCAGAAAGUUGAGAGUAAAGGAUUUAUUCGCUUCAAGAGGAGCCUGCGUCCCAUCAGCUGGUUGGUAGGGUAACGGCCUACCAAGGCUAUGACGGGUAGGGGACCUGAGAGGGUGGCCCCCCACAAUGGAACUGAAACACGGUCCAUACACCUACGGGUGGCAGCAGUAGGGAAUAUUAGAAAUGGACGAAAGUCUGAUCUAGCAACACCGCGUGUGCGAAGAAGGCCUUCGGGUCGUAAAGCACUUUUUGGAAGGAAUAGGAAGGAAUGUACUUCCAGAAUAAGUCUCGGCUAACUACGUGCCAGCAGCCGCGGUAAUAAU